CCCGCCCCGCCCUCCCCUCGCGGCUCGGCUCGGCUCGAGAGUCAGGGCCACAGGUCAGGUCAGCACCGAGAGCGCCCGAGUACCUCGGCGGGACGGACAGCAGCAUCUCCGGACAGAAGGAAGUACGUGACAGUUUCGGGAUCCAGACCCUCGCAUCAGUUCCCGCGGUGUGUGAGCUCCGGCGGAUAGACACAAGUGCAGCUCUGCCGGAGUUGGUGGCCUUUGCUGGAGACCGACUUCGAGAGUUCCACCACGGGAGCCUGCGGACUUAACAUCACGAAGCUCGCAAUCCCUGUCGGGGAUCGACUUUGGGGAACCAACUGCGCGAGCAUGUGGAUUUUAACAUCGCGGAGCUCAUGGUCUCAGAUUAGAGACCGACUUUGGGAACUACAAGCCACAGGAGCUUCGACCGCCCUGACGCAGGGGCUUCGACCGUCGACUGCGGGAACUUUGAUCGGCCCGACGGAUGGUUCAACUGCCCCGACCACAGGAGAAUAAAGGAGGAAGAAGAUUGGACUUUAUUGCCUUCCAUCACAGUGAGGAACGUGGGGAAUCCGCUGUGGUGGAUGUUUAUGUUAACUUUCAUGUAGUUGUGUGUCUUGCUGCUUUUUUUUUAGUAUGGCUGUAUGGUAAUUCAAAUUUCACUGUACCUUAAUUGGUACACGUGACAAACUGGGCUUGAGAUCUUGAAACCUUGACCAUGAAUUAGUAUGUAUUACCUUUCUCACAUUUAAACCUCUCCCAUCCAGAACAAGGGUAGAGUUCAUUUGCAUCAGCCUCCACAUUGAACAGAUCAUCCUCAGUAAUAACCAACAUCUUUAAUAUGAUGCUAUCACCAGAUACAUCUUCCCCCCCCCUUCUUUUUCAGUAUUACAAAGGGAUUGUUCUCUUUCUUAAAAUAUCUUCCAGUGCAGCUACAAGAGAUUUUACCUCUUUCCUUUGACCAUUCGAGGAUCCUGUACCUUCUUUCCCGAGGGAGCAACAGUUUACUUGGAGUGUAUCCAAUAUAGCAUAAUUGUACAUGUAGUACUGACAAUGUGGUCUCCUUUAUAUCAAGAAAACAAAUGUACAUAGAUUGAAUGACUGCAUUGCAGAACACCUUCAUGCAAUCUGUCAGCUUUGUUUUAAUUUUCUAUCCCACUCUUCUGGUUGUCAGUCCUAGUUUUCCUUUCCACGCCCUCUCUGGCCUCCUACUUUGUACCAAGAAUCACAAUAUAAAUCCGAGAAACAACAGUUGAUCUAAGUCGCCACAGGACAACAUUUUGGACUUGACACCGAAUUCAAUGAUUUCAGAUGAUCAGCCACCUGUUUUAUAUCUCACAUUUUCAGCAUUAUCUUUCUCUCUUUUUCCUCCGAUAUACACCUCCACAGAGCCAAGCAUACCUUUUGUCAUUAAUCAGCUUUAAUAACCCUCUUCAGCUGUGCCAUCAACAUUUAUAUAAUUGAAUCUCCACCUGCACCCUAUUACUGAUUUUCCCUUUUAUUCCCUUUACCUCUCACCAGCAUAUUUGCAAAUUAACUUUAUUUACCUUUCAAUUUCACACUUCUGAUGGAGUCUCUCUAACUCUGUUUCUCCUCCCACAGAUGCUUCUUGACCUGCCAAGUUAUUCCAACAUUUAUUGUUUAAGAUUCCAAGUAAAUGGACAUCCAUAUAAUUGUAUGAACUUUUAGGAGCAGGAGUAGGCCCCUCAGCAACUUGAGCCUGUUGCAUUAUUUUAAAAAGGUAGUAGCUGAUCCAAAUGUAACCUCAGCAUUCCAUUCUAUUCUCUGUAACCUUUCAACCUUGUGCAAUUUUACGCAAUAAAAUAUUCUAGGUGGUG